AGAGUUUGAUCCUGGCUCAGGAUGAACGCUAGCGACAGGCUUAACACAUGCAAGUCGAGGGGCAGCGGGGGUAGCAAUACCCGCCGGCGACCGGCGCACGGGUGAGUAACGCGUAUGCAACUUGCCUAUCAGAGGGGGAUAACCCGGCGAAAGUCGGACUAAUACCGCAUGAAGCAGGGGCCCCGCAUGGGGAUAUUUGCUAAAGAUUCAUCGCUGAUAGAUAGGCAUGCGUUCCAUUAGGCAGUUGGCGGGGUAACGGCCCACCAAACCGACGAUGGAUAGGGGUUCUGAGAGGAAGGUCCCCCACAUUGGUACUGAGACACGGACCAAACUCCUACGGGAGGCAGCAGUGAGGAAUAUUGGUCAAUGGGCGUAAGCCUGAACCAGCCAAGUCGCGUGAGGGAUGAAGGUUCUAUGGAUCGUAAACCUCUUUUAUAAGGGAAUAAAGUGCGGGACGUGUCCCGUUUUGUAUGUACCUUAUGAAUAAGGAUCGGCUAACUCCGUGCCAGCAGCCGCGGUAAUACGGAGGAUCCGAGCGUUAUCCGGAUUUAUUGGGUUUAAAGGGUGCGUAGGCGGCCUUUUAAGUCAGCGGUGAAAGUCUGUGGCUCAACCAUAGAAUUGCCGUUGAAACUGGGGGGCUUGAGUAUGUUUGAGGCAGGCGGAAUGCGUGGUGUAGCGGUGAAAUGCUUAGAUAUCACGCAGAACCCCGAUUGCGAAGGCAGCCUGCCAAGCCAUGACUGACGCUGAUGCACGAAAGCGUGGGGAUCAAACAGGAUUAGAUACCCUGGUAGUCCACGCAGUAAACGAUGAUCACUAGCUGUUUGCGAUACAGUGUAAGCGGCACAGCGAAAGCGUUAAGUGAUCCACCUGGGGAGUACGCCGGCAACGGUGAAACUCAAAGGAAUUGACGGGGGCCCGCACAAGCGGAGGAACAUGUGGUUUAAUUCGAUGAUACGCGAGGA
rnacentral:rRNA from 1 species